GGAAGGUGGGGAUGACGUCAAGUCCUCAUGGCCUUUAUGCCCAGGGCUACACACGUGCUACAAUGGGUGGUACAAAGAGCAGCCAGCUCGCGAGAGUGAGCGAAAUCUCAAAAAGCCAUCCUCAGUUCGGAUUGAAGUCUGCAACUCGAACUGCAUGAAGCCGGAGUUGCUAGUAACCGCAGGUCAGCAAUACUGCGGUGAAUACGUUCCCGGGUCUU
rnacentral:rRNA from 1 species